rnacentral:rRNA from 1 species
GACGAACGCUGGCGGCGUGCCUAAUACAUGCAAGUAGAACGCACAGUUUAUACCGUAGCUUGCUCCACCAUAAACUGUGAGUUGCGAACGGGUGAGUAACGCGUAGGUAACCUGCCUGGUAGCGGGGGAUAACUAUUGGAAACGAUAGCUAAUACCGCAUAAUAUUGAUUAUUGCAUGAUAAUUGAUUGAAAGAUGCUAUUGCAUCACUACCAGAUGGACCUGCGUUGUAUUAGCUAGUAGGUGAGGUAACGGCUCACCUAGGCGACGAUACAUAGCCGACCUGAGAGGGGGAUCGGCCACACUGGGACUGGGACACGGCCCAGACUCCUACGGGAGGCAGCAGUAGGGAAUCUUCGGCAAUGGACGAAAGUCUGACCGAGCAACGCCGCGUGAGUGAAGAAGGUUUUCGGAUCGUAAAGCUCUGUUGUAAGAGAAGAACGGGUGUGAGAGUGGAAAGUUCACACUGUGACGGUAUCUUACCAGAAAGGGACGGCUAACUACGUG